GUGUCAAUGACACACAAUUCAACACGCACGCGCUAACAAGGAAAUGGAUUCACGAACUUGUUGACGAUUCGCGAUGAAAUGACAGUUUGAGGACGAGCUUUGAACGAUCCUGUAGCGUGAGGCUGAAAACAGAAUGUAAAACGCCAAA